rnacentral:rRNA from 1 species
UAGAGAAUCUUCGGCAAUGGACGAAAGUCUGACCGAGCAACGCCGCGUGAGUGAAGAAGGUUUUCGGAUCGUAAAACUCUGUUCUUAGAGAAGAACAAGGACGUUAGUAACUGAACGUCCCCUGACGGUAUCUAACCAGAAAGCCACGGCUAACUACGUGCCAGCAGCCGCGGUAAUACGUAGGUGGCAAGCGUUGUCCGGAUUUAUUUGGCGUAAAGCGAGCGCAGGCGGUUUCUUAUGUCUGAUGUGAAAGCCCCCGGCUCAACCGGGGAGGGUCAUUGGAAACUGGGAGGCUUGGGUGCAGAAGAGGAGAGUGGAAUUCCAUGUGUAGCGGUGAAAUACGAAAAUAUAUGGAGGAACACCAGUGGCGAAGGCGGCUCUCUGGUCUGUAACUAACGCUGAGGCUCAAAAGCGUGGGGCGCAAACAGG